rnacentral:rRNA from 1 species
GAUGAACGCUGGCGGCGUGCUUAACACAUGCAAGUCGAGCGGGCAAUUUAUCUAGCACUGAUUACUUCAAAUGGAAAUCAUAAGUGUAAUCAUGAAUUUCUACCUUUAAUAAAGAAAAAAGAAAUUCAUGUACGCAAAUAGUGAUAACACAUUUUAGUGGAGUGAUGAGUGCUGGAUAAAUUGCUAGCGGCGGACGGGUGCGUAACACGUGGGUAACCUGCCCCUAUCACUGGGAUAACACACUGAAAAGUGUGCUAAUACCAGAUAAUAUAAGCUUUUGGCAUCAUUAGCUUAUCAAAGAAUUUCGGAUAGGGAUGGGCCCGCGUCUGAUUAGCUUGUUGGUGAGGUAAUGGCUCACCAAGGCAACGAUCAGUAGCCGACCUGAGAGGGUGAUCGGCCACACUGGAACUGAGACACGGUCCAGACUCCUACGGGAGGCAGCAGUGGGGAAUAUUGCACAAU